CAGCUUCGAUCGGAGUUUAUUCAUGUUUAUAUAGAUGUGCCUACAAGGAUCCAUGAUCCCCACGCCAAGUUACAAAUCGUGCGUGACACCGAUUCUUAUGCCGGAGUCCGUGCGCGACAAGCUCCCUGGCGUGCGCAUCUUCCUAAGACCGGACUGCAUUGCAAGCCGAGCACGGCAUCGCUUACAUGCUUUCCCAACUAGUCUAGCUAAUGUAAUCUAACCAACCAAAUAUGAUUACAAGAAACGAUAUGCAAUAUCUUAGCUAACAGCCUCUGCUAACUCCGUGUUCCUCGGCAACUGUGCCCACUGCGGCGGUGAGCGCUACAUGCUCUGCAGCUCCUACAAGGUACAUCCUCAAGGGCGACGGCGGGUUCCGCACCUGCGCCGAUGCAACUGCCACUCGAAUCCCCCAUCACCCUACUCCCCCCGCACGCAGCAGGAUUCCCCCUCUGUCGCUCGAUUCCCCUCACGUCGUGAGACUCCCUGCUAGCAAAAGCAGCAGCAGUGUGCCGACUAAGAACAACAGAAGCGACUGUACCCUUUUGUGCCCCUGUUCAUCCUUGAAGCAGUACGUAGCAGGGCCUGAAGAAGGAGCAACAAGCCCCCAUCGUCUAGCAGGAGGUCUCCUAUCGUGCCCCUGUGUAUCGAGAAGCAGAAUCAAUAUCUCCUCCAUCAAAGAUCCGUGGCUGUGGCAGUGGUGCCAUGGAAUCUUCUACCAUCGCCACAAGGUGAGAUAUUUCUCCAUACAAUUUGUCCAUGUCAUAUCUGUAGGAAAGAAAUGAUGUAGCUGUCUUACUUUCUGUAUUUUCUUGGGUAAUUAUUUAGUAAUUAUUAUGAUACUAGGAUCAAUGUUUUCCUAAACGCUAAACGGUAAACAGUCGGUCACCUGCCGUUUAGCCAUUAUUCGGGCUAAACAGUCCAUUAAACGGGCUAAACGGUCAAUUAAACGGACUAAACAGAUGAUUAAACGGAAACGGUGUACCAUUGUGUAGCGUUUACACGGCGUUUAAACGGUCUAAACGGCCGUUUAGGCGAACAGUGACUAGGAUACCUUUGCAGAUUAAAGUUUGUAGGCAUAUCAAAAUAUCAGAUUCCCUGAAGAUGAAGGAAGCUUGCUUAUCUUGGUAUUACCUUUUUUUAUAACUGGUUGUUGAUGCAAAAGCUGGAUCUGCAAACACAAAGGGCUAAUACCCGAUUUAAACGUUAAGGCGUGCCAGCCGAUUUGACCUUAUUAUCGGCAAAGGUGGUAACUCGAAUACUUUGGUCCUGACAACAGCGAUGCGCCCGGAUGUCACGGCCAAGAGGUAUUCACGCGGAACUUGAGAAUACGCCGAGCUUAAGUCGACGAAUUCCUAAGAACUCGUAAUAAAAAGGAAAAGUAUGACGAAGUCGUCGAAAAAGUAGAUGCUGGAAUAUGAGUAAAAACUUGUGUUUGAUUGAUUGAUUCUAUAUCUUAUUACAAGGCCCUAGGGUCUACAUUUAUACCCUGCUCAAAGAGCUACAAUCAGACAUGACUAGGACUCGAAUUCCAAAUUAAACAGAAUCCGUAUACAAAACGAAUUUAAACAACUAAGGAAAACAUAAAACUAUCCCCUUGUAACCGACCAGGACACCGCCACGGGUCAAUCGGCAACUCCCGCAGAGCCAUCGGCAAUCUUCCUGCUAUCGCCAUCGGCAGACAUUGAUAUCGGUCAUCAGUUAGGAACGCGCCACCACUCCUGGACUUAGUCAUACUCAAUCGUCCCAGCAACCUUCUUCAUCGGCAACCCUUCUGCAGUCUAGUUACCGUUGCUCCACCUACCGAUCUUGUAUUUCUACUGGUCUCUGUGCACGUGUCCAAAAACGGUAUCAACACAUGCACCCCAGUUUCAGAGUAUGAAAUCCUUAAUGCUCCGAAAUUCUCUGCAUUAAUGACGCCCUUCCGUAGUUAACUCUCUCAAUUUGGCAACUGACCAUUAAAGCCGAACAACCCCGGCUCGAUUCUCUCGCAGAUUCCAAGAAUUUCUCAACCUCCCAAACCAGACAGCUGACACCCCCACUUUAUUUGCCCAUCGGCAAUAUGACCGUCGGAAGGAUCUGCCGAUGGACCGACCAGGAGAUCUCGCACAAUGUCAUAUCUCCAAAAUCAUGACCGCUUGUUGUUAAAUCACCUGCACAAUCCCUUGAUUAUCGUGCGAACAGUUACCAUGUCCACCUGAGCACCCUCGGGUUUCACAGAUACGGCAAGGCGAUAAGUCAGAUUUGCCCCUGCCUUUUUUGUCCUAUAAAUACUUCCUUCUCGGGUACUCCUUCUCCAUCGCACCAUUCUACAUCCCCAACUCUGCUUUUCCAGCGGCGGCACUGCUUGAGAGCCCCAAGAACUCCACCGAAGGCCUUUCUCCACCAACCCCAAAGUCUUCGAUCAUCUUCCCUGCGAGGAGAUGGCCAUCAACUUUGCUGUUUCUGAGGUCAGUUCAUCACCCCAUCUCUCGUACUUUUACCAUACCCUUGUUCAUCCGCAAUUCAUUUUACUGAACAUUCUUUUCCUUUUUCUCUUGUUCUUCUUUUUAUCCUUAAAAACUUCUAGGAUUUGUCCAAUAAAAUUGUCACCCCUACCGAUCAGCCACACCUCCAAUGCCUCGGCCCACUAGAGAACCCAGAUCCUACCGAUCUGAUCAACGCAGAGACAAACAGGAUCCCUUUUAGAGCCGAGAACUUCUCUCUAGAUCUGUGGAAAGACGCCUUCCGUUCCUUGCCCAGUCCUACCAAGGGAUGGAAGGAUUGGUUCUUGAGAGUCAGCCAUUCAAACGAGGUUCAGUGGGGUGAACGAAAACUAGAUCAAUGCAUCAGGUUGUCCCUUGCCGAUAUGCAUAGGAAUGAAUCACUACUGAUUGCGGCGUCCUAUUUCUGGUCAGACACACUCAAUGCUUUUGUUUUCGGACAUGACCCUCCUUCUCCCACUCUUGCCGAUGUGCUUAUGCUCACCGGCCAAGAUGUAUCCACUCCCGAUAGUAGUCACAUAUUUGACACCACACCUAGUGCUAAGGUGGAAACCCGCUCUAUCGGCGGCUGGUCUAGAUACAUUCAGAAGUACCGUAGAACAGGGCCCGUUAACAUAAAGGAACAAACCACCUUUCUGAACAUAUGGCUGGACAAAUUUGUGUUCUGCGGUCGAUCGGUAGGACCAACCUCUGUCUACCUAUCGGCAGCAGAGAGGUUAGCUAAUGGUGGCCGAUUUCCCCUCGGCCGAUAUCUGCUUGGCUCUGCCUAUCAUCUUCUCCACCAAGUAGCCAGGAAACUUCUGCUCGGCCAAACCAUCGACAACUUAGGGGGUCCCUGGUGGUUCAUCAAUAUGUGGCUCAGCCUCCAUAGGCACAAGCGUCUCAAGUUCGACCUCUUUGCACAACGUUUCCCCAGGGAUAUAGCCGAGGAUCAUGAAUUGGGUGAAGAAGAAUCGGCAACUCGUCCUCCUCUAAACUUUGGUGAGGUUGCCAUAGUCUUGCCUGGCACAGGGGCUAACGCAGAUCAGGUGAGCCGAUUCUUUCAGACUCUAUACGAGGGCCUGACCAGAGAACAACGAGCAUGGAUGCCUUAUGAAGACCCAAACACCAGAUUUCCUUUGGUCUUUCAUCCUUUCAACGAUGCUCUCAAUAAGGAUCAUGAUGUGAUGAUGGCACUUAUCACCCCGAGGGCCAUACCAGUAAACUUUUUCGGCAGUGGGAAGGCCUCCAACCAGUCCUAUGAAUUCUACAACCCAUCGGUGCUAGCCCGUCAACUGGCUUUCGGUCAGCUAUUGAUUGCACUUUGUUAUGCCGAUGUGAUAAAACCUAGGGAAACCAUCACUAGUCUUCUUGAGUGGACCAGAAUAGCUCAACUGCCACCAAAUGCCGAUACAGAUGCCGAUUUAUCAGAUUGGAUCCCGGCUCUCUUCAUCACUCAGGCAUACAAACAAUGGUGGGAAGAAUGGAAAGAGCAUCUGUUCUGCAGAUCGGCUCUUACGUACCAUGGCAUGAUUGACCCUCAAUACAAGGUUCCUGACAAUACUAUAAGUAUUCUUAAACCGAUGUUUCAAUUCCUUCACUGUCCUUUUCAAUCAGUAAUCCCCCUCUCUUCAUUUUACACAGGUUGAUGAUACACCACCAUCGGUUAGCAGGAGUGGCAAGCCGAUUGAGCUCCUUCCAUCGGGCCCGAUCUCCUCAAUCGGCAACAAUGCUCCCACCUUGGCUGCUAUAAUGCAUCGAGGUGUGCGCCUCAAGAAAGUCACCACCAAGCAGACGAAGGCAUCUCCAUCGGUGGCCGCCUCUACUUUAGCACAGGCCUUCAAGGUAAAUUUUUAAACUCUUUCAUCCAUAUCGAUUCCAUCCCUGCAUCUGUUACACUUAUACUCAUAAAUCUUCAUUGUUGUAUCAGCACACCGGCGCAUCGGCAAGGACCAGAAGUACAAGUGCCGAUGCCUCCCAGUCCAGUCAACCGAAGAGGAAAGGUUCCAAGAGCACCAGAUCACAAGCAAAGUGCCAAAGAAUAGCAACGCCUUCUCCUCCUCCAGUAUCUCCAAUCCCAGUAGAAUCAUCCCCUUCUUCUCCAGAAGCCCAGACACAGCAAAUUCCUUCUCCUCCUCAGCCACAAGGAGAACCUCAAGUGGAAGAACCCCAGCCAGAGGUACCUCAGCCAGAAGAAACACCGGCCGAUGUACACGAGCAGACCACCGAUUCAGCAAGCCUAAUCAUAGCAUCAGUAGUCUCCUCGGUCCAAACAAUUACUGCACCCCCUCAAGGUAAUAUAUUUCCCAUUUAUCGCCGAUGAACCUACUUCUCCAUUUUACUUAGUCACUUUUGCCGAUCUUUUCAGUUAACAUAAUUUCAUCGGCGAUUCCAGCCGAUCAGCCUAUGAUUCCAUCGGCUCCAACCAGCCGAAUGCGAGAGAUAGCUCUGAAACAAGUAAGUUACUUGAUUUCUACCCGUAUUGUUUAGUAGUGCUUGAUCAUAGAAUAACUCAUUCUGUUUUUUCUUUUUCAGGAACAGGACUCUCCU
rnacentral:lncRNA from 1 species